AUGCGACCCCAGGUCAGGCGGGACUACCCGCUGAAU
rnacentral:rRNA from 2 species